AUACGGAGGGUGCAAGCGUUAAUCGGAAUUACUGGGCGUAAAGCGCGCGUAGGCGGAUUAGUAAGUCGGAUGUGAAAGCCCUGGGCUCAACCUGGGAAUUGCAUUCGAUACUGCUUGACUAGAGUAUGGUAGAGGGAAGUGGAAUUUCCGGUGUAGCGGUGAAAUGCGUAGAUAUCGGAAGGAACACCAGUGGCGAAGGCGACUUCCUGGGCCAAUACUGACGCUGAGGUGCGAAAGCGUGGGGAGCAAACAGGAUUAGAUACCCCAGUAGUCC
rnacentral:rRNA from 1 species